rnacentral:rRNA from 1 species
UACGGAGGGGGCAAGCGUUGUUCGGAAUUACUGGGCGUAAAGGGCGCGCAGGCGGCUGCUCAAGUCAGGCGUGAAAGGCCUGGGCUCAACCCGGGAAUUGCGCUUGAGACUGGGCUGGCUUGAGUGCGGGAGAGGAUGGUGGAAUUCCCAGUGUAGAGGUGAAAUGCGCAGAUAUCAGGAGGAACACCGGUGGCGAAGGCGGGUCUCUGGGCCGUAACUGACGCUGAGGAGCGAAAGCGUGGGGAGCGAACAGG